rnacentral:rRNA from 1 species
GACGAACGCUGGCGGCGUGCUUAACACAUGCAAGUCGAACGGAAAGGCCUCUUUCGGGGGGUACUCGAGUGGCGAACGGGUGAGUAACACGUGAGUAACCUGCCCUUGACUUUGGGAUAACUUCAGGAAACUGGGGCUAAUACCGGAUAGGAGCUCCUGCUGCAUGGUGGGGGUUGGAAAGUUUCGGCGGUUGGGGAUGGACUCGCGGCUUAUCAGCUUGUUGGUGGGGUAGUGGCUUACCAAGGCUUUGACGGGUAGCCGGCCUGAGAGGGUGACCGGCCACAUUGGGACUGAGAUACGGCCCAGGCUCCUACGGGAGGCAGCAGUGGGGAAUAUUGCACAAGGGGUGGAAGCCUGAUGCAGCAACGCCGUGUGCGGGAUGACGGCCUUCGGGUUGUAAACCGCUUUCGCUCAUGACGAAGCUUUGUGUGACGGUAGUGGGUAAAGAAGCACCGGCUAACUACGUG